UCCGUGUUAACCACGGCAGUCUCCUUAGAGAGCCCAACUGAAUGAUGGCAACUAAGGGCGAGGGUUGCGCUCGUUGCGGGACUUAACCCAACAUCUCACGACACGAGCUGACGACAGCCAUGCAGCACCUGUGUUACGGCUCUCUUUCGAGCACACCCGAAUCUCCCCAGGCUUCCGUACAUGUCAAGGGUAGGUAAGGUUUUUCGCGUUGCAUCGAAUUAAUCCACAUCAUCCACCGCUUGUGCGGGUCCCCGUCAAUUCCUUUGAGUUUUAAUCUUGCGACCGUACUCCCCAGGCGGUCUACUUCACGCGUUAGCUGCGUUACCAAGUCAAUUAAGACCCGACAACUAGUAGACAUCGUUUAGGGCGUGGACUAC
rnacentral:misc_RNA from 1 species